GUAGCUCAGCUGGAUAGAGCAUCCGCCUUCUAAGCGGACGGUCGGGGGCUUAUUUUUCCUUAAAGUGAUAGCAUGGUAUGGCAUGGAAACACUGCUGUAUCAGGCUUUUUUUGUGCUUUCAAAUUUCUAAGCGGACAGUCUCUGUAACGUCCA
rnacentral:tRNA from 1 species